UAGGGAAUCUUCGGCAAUGGGGGGAACCCUGACAGAGCAACGCCGCGUGAGUGAAGAAGGUUUUCGGAUCGUAAAGCUCUGUUGUUAAGGAAGAACGAGUGUGAGAAUGGAAAGUUCAUGCUGUGACGGUACUUAACCAGAAAGGGACGGCUAACUACGUGCCAGCAGCCGCGGUAAUACGUAGGUCCCGAGCGUUGUCCGGAUUUAUUGGGCGUAAAGCGAGCGCAGGCGGUUAGAAAAGUCUGAAGUGAAAGGCAGUGGCUCAACCAUUGUAGGCUUUGGAAACUGUUUAACUUGAGUGCAGAAGGGGAGAGUGGAAUUCCAUGUGUAGCGGUGAAAUGCGUAGAUAUAUGGAGGAACACCGGUGGCGAAAGCGGCUCUCUGGUCUGUAACUGACGCUGAGGCUCGAAAGCGUGGGGAGCGAACAGG
rnacentral:rRNA from 1 species